UUAGGAAUGACACAUGGAGGUGGAAACAGAUUCAGGCACCAGCCGACCCACGGAAAGAACACAGAGAAAGGUCAAGCACCAGCUUUGACUCCUAAGGCACUGCCCCUCUCUGCCCCCCUUCCCACAGGCCCCGACUACACAACAGGGUUCAGCCUGAACACACUCCCAGAGAUGAGCCUAGGUCUGAACAAGCCUGAGACGGGGCCUCUGGGAGCCAUCUGUCACCUACAUGUUAGGACUGAAGCUGCAAAGGAAGCGGUGGUUGGCAUAACUGGAGAAGGGAACAGAUGGACAGACAGGUGACCUGGCUUCCACUAUUCGCAAUAUCCCUUUGGGUCCCUGGUUCUGGUCUGCAGGAAUCCCUGUAUUAAAUGCCAUUCCUUGGCAGAAGAAGGAAUACCCCAGAAAUGACUGAUUUCCCAGGAUCGUGAAGAUCAGAGGCGGCAAAGAUGCACUGAGCACAGACAUCCUGGCUUUUACUCUGGUCUUGGCUGCUUACGAGCUGGUGACCCUGGAUGAGAAGACUGCAGCCCAGUCAUGGGACAUGACUGCCCGAGCCUGCAGAGCUGGAAGGAGGGGGAGCCGAGGUUCCACCCUAGGCAUCUCGGUACCAAGACCUGAGCCC